rnacentral:rRNA from 1 species
GACGAACGCUGGCGGCGUGCCUAAUACAUGCAAGUUGAGCGCUGAAGGUUGGUACUUGUACCAACUGGAUGAGCAGCGAACGGGUGAGUACCGCGUGGGGAAUCUGCCUUUGAGCGGGGGACAACAUUUGGAAACGAACGCUAAUACCGCAUAAAAACUUUAAACACAAGUUUUAAGUUUGAAAGAUGCAAUUGCAUCACUCAAAGAUGAUCCCGCGUUGUAUUAGCUAGUUGGUGAGGUAAAGGCUCACCAAGGCGAUGAUACAUAGCCGACCUGAGAGGGUGAUCGGCCACAUUGGGACUGAGACACGGCCCAAACUCCUACGGGAGGCAGCAGUAGGGAAUCUUCGGCAAUGGACGAAAGUCUGACCGAGCAACGCCGCGUGAGUGAAGAAGGUUUUCGGAUCGUAAAACUCUGUUGGUAGAGAAGAACGUUGGUGAGAGUGGAAAGCUCAUCAAGUGACGGUAACUACCCAGAAAGGGACGGCUAACUACGUG